rnacentral:lncRNA from 1 species
UUGCUUCGGCCCGGCUCUCCACGAGCCCGUCCGGGCUUGCCUGGCAGAGACACUGGCCGUCCUUCCCCAGCUCACCUUAGGGGCGAGGAAACUGAGGCAAGCUGGGGCGCACGGCCCGGCUGAGUCUGAAGCUGAGGGACUUGCGGUGCUGCCCCGGGGGCACAGAAGCCCUUGAACUUCCCGUGUCCUCCCCCGGAAAAUACCGGGGCUAGGGAUGCUGAGGACCCUUCCGGCUGGAACGUUCCGCGCCGUCCCCGCCCCUGGGGAGGCCCCUCGAGGAACAACUAUUUUAAUCCCCAACUACAAUGGAGAAACCGAGGCUCAGACGCUAGCCCAAAGCCACAGAGCAGCGCCGCCAGGAUGAGAAAAUCUUAAGAGGCGUAAUUUGGAAGAAAGAAGAGGGCAAACACAGAGAAUAGCAUGAUUUGGCCAUAAUUAUAGUCAGU